rnacentral:rRNA from 1 species
ACUGUGCCGGCAGUACUUNNUCCACUAGAAGAUGCCUGACAUAUAAAGCACAAGACGUAAGGACCCUAGAAAUUUUAUAUAAAGUAUAUAUUUAUACUAUCAUUUUGUGGGGGCGACAGAAUAGCAAAUAACCUAUUUUAAGUUAUAUGAAGAUUUUUUAUAAAGACAGUAAAAAUUACUCUAGGGAUAACAGCAUAAUUAUUUAAUAGUUUGUGACCUCGAUGUUGGACUAAGGAAGGUUUUAUUCAGAAGAUUAAAUCGUAUGUUCUGUACAAACAAAUAAUCCUUACAUGAUCUGAGUUAG